rnacentral:misc_RNA from 1 species
AUUCGGGUGACUCUGUCUUU